rnacentral:sRNA from 1 species
UUUCACAGUUUUACAGAUUACCGAAGAAGGAUCCUUAUAGUGUAAAGUAUGACUUCCUGCAUUACGGAAACACAGAGCUCAAGAUCAAUUUUCGUCGAAUGAAAGAAGAAUGGUCCGAGAAUAAUUUCUCAUCUGAUGUAGGCUCUCUUGGUCUUCCAGCUGAACCAAAGCUUAUAGUAUGGACAAUGGCCAGUCUAAAUGAUGAGAUCAAAGAGAGACCAGAGAGCAGUGAUAAAAAAAA